UACAGGGGGGGCAAGCGUUGUUCGGAAUUACUGGGCGUAAAGGGCUCGUAGGCGGCCAACUAAGUCCGACGUGAAAUCCCAAAGCUUAACUUUGGAACUGCGUCGGAUACUGGAUGGCUUGAAUUCGGGAGAGGGAUGCGGAAUUCCAGGUGUAGCGGUGAAAUGCGUAGAUAUCUGGAGGAACACCGGUGGCGAAGGCGGCAUCCUGGACCGACACUGACGCUGAGGAGCGAAAGCCAGGGGAGCAAACGGG
rnacentral:rRNA from 1 species